rnacentral:rRNA from 1 species
ACUCCUACGGGAGGCAGCAGUGGGGAAUAUUGCACAAUGGGGGAAAGCCCUGAUGCAGCCAUGCCGCGUGUGUGAAGAAGGACUUCGGGUUGUAAAGCACUUUCAGUAGGGAGGAAGGUAGUGUAGUUAACACCUGCAUUAUUUGACGUUACCUACAGAAGAAGCACCGGCUAACUCCGUGCCAGCAGCCGCGGUAAUACGGAGGGUGCGAGCGUUAAUCGGAAUUACUGGGCGUAAAGCGCAUGCAGGCGGCCUGUUAAGUCAGAUGUGAAAGCCCGGGGCUUAACCUCGGAAUUGCAUUUGAAACUGGCAGGCUAGAGUCUUGUAGAGGGGGUGAGAAUUAUCAGGUGUAGCGGUGAAAUGCGUAGAGAUCUGAAGGAAUACCGGUGGCGAAGGCGACCACCUGGCCAAUAACUGACACUGAGACGCGAAGGCGUGGGUAGCAAACGGGAUUAGAUACCCUGGUAGCUCGAUGU